rnacentral:misc_RNA from 1 species
UGAUGCCGGAAGUAUGAUCCCUUACCACAAAACCCUAACAAGACAGGGCUAUCGGGCUCUUAUUUUCAGUGGAGAUCAUGAUAUGUGUGUGCCAUUCACCGGAAGCCAAGCAUGGACAAAAUCACUUGGAUAUAAGAUCAUAGAUGAAUGGAGAUCUUGGAUGUCAAAUGAUCAAAUUGCUGGGUACUUACAAGGGUAUGAGAAUAAUCUUACCUUCCUCACCAUUAAGGGUGCUGGGCAUACGGU